GAUAUGAAAAAUGUUGCCACUCCCAUUCAUUGCACAUUUUCCCCGAAAUCAUAAUUCACGACCCAUAAAUAUGCAGGCAAACGCGGUUGCCUACUAUAUUAGUUGAGCCAAUAGCGCGGCAAGAUACUGACAUGGGAUUAUUAUUAACCAAUCAGAUGAAGUUUAUUUAGAACAGCUGUUAAACGAUGAUUUAGCUGUCAGACAUGAGCAGCAGCAGCGCAUUGAUCAUCGUCAAGGACAUUCUUUGUGUGAUUUGCACGAGUUCCAGUAUGGCCUCUGGAGCUGGCGGAAGUGUCAUCCAGUCCACUCCGUAGAAAUCUCCUACCAUCUUCCAGCCAUGAUUUACAGGAGGAGGAAUGUCUGGCAUGCACUCAAGACUCCUUCUGUGUACUGCAGCCUGAUAGCUUGCCCGCUGGAUGUGUUUUUGCAAGGAGUCUUUGUUUGGAGGCAAGUCUCUCUCAGAACAUUUACCUGAUUUGAACAGUUUAGCCCUUGCAAUAUUGACAUCUUGGCAGUCCUUCUGAUCAUAUAGAUCACACGUGUAAGCUUCCAGAGCCUCACAUAUUUCUGGUGAUGGGGUGAAACUUGUUCCUAGUUCUCUAAACAUAGUGAUGUAUUCUGUUUUUGAACUUAGUUUUUUGUAUGCUUUUGCUUUCCCAACCUUAUGCAGAGCGCUCACUGUGUCACAUCCAGAAAAGGCAUGCAGACCUACAAGGGCAUCACAUUUGUCUUAGCCAAGAUGGGCAUGUAGCUUGGUAAUGUCAGUAAUGUGUGUGUUUCUCCCCUUGGCUGUAUGGAAAUGGAGGUGGCCAUCAAUGUGGCUGCAGAAAGCUAGAGCCAGCACAAAGACAUCAGUGUCUGGGCUCUUGAUUACCAGGUCAUGGCUGUGUUUGGCUGCAUGCAGUAUCAUUCUGGUGUCUGCCUCCUCUUGACUUGUCUCUAGGUCUUUGAGUUCCAGUAUCUCAAGAUGAGCUCCAAUGUUGGAAGAAAUACUCCAGUAAGAUUUCUUUAUUUUGGCCACAUGCCAGGAAUUUUUUCCACUGCUUUGGGGUUUUUUGGUCAUCUCCAUAUAUUUAGAUUUUUUUGGUAGCCCUGUUCUGCGCGCCGACUACGCUCAGCAUUUUUGAUGCUCAGGUCACUGUAUGUGUCGCAUACAAAAUGAAGCUCUGUUGACUUGGUUGCCUUAGCUGAGUGAACUAAUGUCUUCAGUACAUGAUCCGCAUGAUCAGCAUACAACCCACCAGAGCCAUAGCAUCCCAAAUCCAAACUGCGCCAUCAGGAAUGUCACUCACUUUUGCAGGCGGGUUGAUCUCAUCGAGCAAGAUGUGCAUCCGCUUAGCUUUGUUGGUUUUGACCAGAGAGCCAUCAAAGUUGGAAAUUGACUGUGGAAAAGGACCCAAACUGUAAGUGAGCAUUUCAUCGAUGUUAAUUUGCCUAACGCUGCCCACAACAAUUAGCCUUGCAAACAAGUUACGAUGUGAUGUUAAGGUGAUUUCUUUUCCUUUAAUUUUUGUGACUGUACUUUGUCCAGUGUCUUUAAAUGUUUUUAUUUUCAUUUUCUUUAUAGGGUCAUGGAAUGAUGCUUCGCCAUUGACGAUCCUUUUUUCACAGAAUUCAGUGAGUGCCUUAACACCUCUUUGUUUAGCCCCUAGUAAGUCUGUGGCAACAUUUUCUGAUGCCUGUUGGCCAGAAGAGAUGUGACAGAGAGUCUCCAUCCAGCAAUGGGUCAAAAGGGUUAACCAUAUUUUGGAUAGUGGCCACAAUGUUCAUCACAUCAGCCUGAUCUCUCUGCAUUCUGGUGUUGUCUAGCUCUGAGUUAAGAUGUCCUACCGGGCACUUUCCUGCCAUUGUUUUGCAUUCAAAAGUGAUUGCUGCCCGCUCAUGUUGUGUUAGGGUCCAGCGGUGAACUGCCAACAAAUUUCAUCUAGUUUUUUGUACUAAUCUUAUACUGUUACUGC